GAUGAACGCUGGCGGCGUGCCUAAUACAUGCAAGUCGAGCGAACGGACGAUAAGCUUGCUUCUCUGAUGUUAGCGGCGGACGGGUGAGUAACACGUGGAUAACCUACCUAUAUUUCUGGGAUAAUUUCGGGAAACCGGAUCUAAUACUGGAUGAUAUUUUGAACCGCAUUGGUCAAAAGUGAAUGACGGCCUUGCUGUCUCUUUUAGAUGGAUCCGCGGUGGAUUAGCUAGUUGGUAAGGUAACGGCUUACCAAGGCAACGAUGCAUAGCCGACCUGAGAGGAUGAUAGGCCACAUGGGAACUGAGACACGGUCCAGACGCCUACGGGAGGCAGCAGUAGGGAAUCUUGCGCAAUGGGCGCAAGCCUGACGCAGCGACGCCGAGUGAGUGAUGAAGGCCUUCGGGUCGUAAAGCUCUGUUAUUAGGAAAGAACAGAUGUGGAAGAAGACGUGGACGUAGUGACGGUACCUAAUAAAAAAGCCACGGCUAACUACGUG
rnacentral:rRNA from 1 species